rnacentral:rRNA from 1 species
AGAGUUUGAUCAUGGCUCAGAACGAACGCUGGCGGCGUGCUUAAUACAUGCAAGUCGAACGAGAAAGCCCGGCUUCGGUUGGGCGAGUAAAGUGGCGAACGGGUGAGUAACACGUGGACAAUCUGCCCUUAAAUCCGGGAUAAUCCCCCGAAAGGAGGUCUAAUACCGGAUAAUACCCUUUGAUGGCAUCAUCUUAGGGUCAAAGGCGGGGCAACCUGCCGUUUAGGGAUGAGUCCGCGUCCCAUUAGCUUGUUGGUGAGGUAACGGCUCACCAAGGCUGCGAUGGGUAGCCGGCCUGAGAGGGCGAUCGGCCACACUGGGACUGAGAUACGGCCCAGACUCCUACGGGAGGCAGCAGUAGGGAAUAUUGCGCAAUGGACGAAAGUCUGACGCAGCAACGCCGCGUGGGUGAUGAAGCUUCUUGGAGUGUAAAACCCUGUCAGUGGGGAAGAAACGCACGGGUAGUAACUGACCUGUGCCUGACGGUACCCGCAGAGGAAGUCCCGGCUAACUCCGUGCCAGCAGCCGCGGUAAUACGGGGGGGACAAGCGUUGUUCGGAUUUACUGGGCGUAAAGGGCGCGUAGGCGGACCUUCAAGUCGGAUGUGAAAACCGGCGGCUUAACUGCCGGCCUGCAUUCGAUACUGUUGGUCUUGAGUACAUGAGAGGAAGGCGGAAUUCCAGGUGUAGCGGUGAAAUGCGUAGAUAUCUGGAAGAACACCAGUAGCGAAGCGGCCUUCUGGCGUGAUACUGACGCUGAAGCGCGAAGGCUAGGGGAGCAAACAGGAUUAGAUACCCUGGUAGUCCUAGCGGUAAACGAUGGGUACUAGGUGUC